UGGGCAACCUGCCCCUCUCUCUGGGAUAACCCCGGGAAACCGGAGCUAAUACCGGAUACUCCGGCUGGAUCGCAUGGUCCGGCUGGGAAAGGUCCGCCGGAGAGGGAUGGGCCCGCGGCCUAUCAGCUUGUUGGUGAGGUAACGGCUCACCAAGGCGUCGACGGGUAGCUGGUCUGAGAGGACGACCGGCCACACUGGGACUGAGACACGGCCCAGACUCCUACGGGAGGCA
rnacentral:rRNA from 1 species